rnacentral:lncRNA from 1 species
UAUAAGUAUGCACAUAAGUGAGAAUAGAGAAGAGAAUGACCUUUAAGUAGCUAAGCAUAUAAGUGAGAACAGAGAAGAGAAUAACCAUUAAGAAGCUUUCUUCAAUAUAUUUUCUGUUCGGGAGCAGCGAUUACAAGAAAAUUCAACAUCGAAGCUAAAAUAACGACUAAAUAGUUAGCAGGAAUCCAUGGACCAAAGCUCGAAUAGAGGACUGUAUACCUUGAUUCAUCAAACAGAAACCAAAUCUCAUGCGAAACCCAUUUUUGUUUCCCUUGCUUUCUCUCGAAAUCCAAGUUAAAAGAAAAAGAAGCUAAUAUGUUGUAUGUGCCUUUUCAGAUCCGAGUGGCUAGAGAUGAAACUAAAGUAAAACUAUUCUCUCUUCUUUCUCUGAUCGGGUCUCUAAAAAGAAUAAUUAAGAUGAAUACAAAUCACAAAAAUUUUCUUUGAUCGAAACAAAAAGAAACUGAAAAGAUGUAAAGAAAAUCCUUUCUCCAAUUUUGCUUCAGGCUAAGCCUCUGAAUUUUUUUUUUCUUUUGAUGAAGCUCCCUUAGACCCUCCGUCUGUCUCCUCCCUAUUGUAAAGAAAAUCCAUUCUCCAAUUGUGUUGAAGAUAAAAUUCUGAGAGCGUCUUUGGGUGUAUUGCUGCUGAUUGGGUGUUUAGGGUGUUUUAAU